UCGCUUUCAAGCUCGCUUACGUUUUGUUUGCCUGGGUGGUUAGGAGGGGAUCAUGUCCAGUGUGAAUUUGUUUUGACCAAAUUAGGUUUGGGAAAUCUCGCAAGUUUUUUCUCACGCGAUUCGUCAUGUAACAGUUGACGUUGAUGGUUGGGCCUAAUGACAGCUCUUAUGUUUCUUCAAAUUUUAUGCUUGCCGGGCCUGGAUGUAUGCCUAUCUCAAUUCAUGGUUGACAUGUUCAUCCUGAAGCGGAUUGUUUCUGCGUAUGUUUUUUUUGCAUGAUUGAGUUUCGUGUAUCUCGACCAGGGUGUGUGGUUCCAGUUUGGAUUUUGGUUUCGAGAGGAUUUCGUCUCCCUCCAGUAGCUUCAAUUUACCUCAAUUCAUGGUUGACAUGUUCAUACUGGAGUGGAUUGUUUACUGCAUAGAAGGUGUAGGGAUCCAUCCAGUUUGGAGAUCCCAGUUUGGAUUUGGAUUUUGAGAGGAUAUUGUCUCCUAAGGUAGUUUCAAUUCAUGUAAAGCAGAUCAGAGAGCUGCAAGGCCUGCUGACUUAUUGACCGUUUCACAGAAUUUCAGUUGUUUCACUGUUGCCUAGGAUGUGUUCUGCGAUAUCUUCAGUCGCGGUGGAUUGCAUCGCUGUUGCCUUAAUUUUCUGUCCAAAUUGUACCUUUGCACUCUUAGGAGUUUCAAUUCAUGUAAAGCAGAUCAGAGAGCUGCAAGGCCUGCUGUCUUAUUGACUGUCUUCACAGAAUUUCAGCAGUUUCACUGUUUCCGGUAGGAUGUUUUCUGGGAUAUCUUCAAUCGCGGUGGAUCGCAUCGCUGUUGCCUUAAUUUUCUGUCCAAAUUGUACCUUUGCACUCAAAAGCUGAUAAUAGAAUCCUUUUGCCCUAGGAUCUUUUAAUCCCCAAAAGUUGAUUUUCAAUGGGACAAAGUCACAAAUUUUGGUAGUGCUUUGAUCAUCAUUUUAGGAGAUUGCACGGAAGGGGGUUAUGCUGUAUGCGGAAGGGGGUGAUGCUGUAUAGUUUAGCUGCUGUUUAACCUACUCUGUUUGAUGUAAGCUUUAGAUCCUUGCAGUGAUGAUAUUAGUCAGUUGUUUUAUCUACCACUCCAGCAUGCUAGUCAGCUCAUAUUGUGCAUCUACAUUGAUUUAUCUGCAAUUUCAUGGACAUCGUCACUAUGGCAACGCUUUUAACGGAACUGAAAGCGCCAAGGAGUCGAGCAAGAAGAAACCUUUUGUUGAGAAAGUUAAAGUUCUCACCAAAGAACUUCUAGAAAGGUACUGGGCACCACUGAGGCCAGGGGAAAAACUGAUUGUAUCAUCUACUAUCGGCUAUUGUGGGUUCUUGCUCGAGAUGGUUCAUACCACCGAGAAGCAGAAGCUGUAGAAAGUUACUCCAGUUUAAUUUAAUCUGUGUAUCUGUGACAUCUCAAACUUGUGUUAUGUCAUCUACUAUGUGGUGUUUAACUUAAUAUAUGAUGUGGCAGACUUGAUUAACUCCACUAGUAAUAGUAGGUUUGUGUCCUGCUGUCUUACUAUGUGUUUUGUUCUUACUAGCAAAAUGUCCAUGUUGCAAUGGUUAAAAAUAAA